UCUACGGGAGGCAGCAGUGAGGGAUAUUGGUCAAUGGGCGAAAGCCUGAACCAGCGACGCCGCGUGGGUGAAGAAGGUCUUCGGAUCGUAAAGCCCUUUUCUGUGGGAAGAGACAAGGACGGUACCACAGGAAGAAGUCUCGGCUAACUACGUGCCAGCAGCCGCGGUAAUA
rnacentral:rRNA from 1 species